GCCCCCGUAGCCCAAUCGGUAGAGGCAGCUGACUUAAAAUCAGUCCAGUGUCGGUUCGAGUCCGACCGGGGGUA
rnacentral:tRNA from 2 species